UUAUGUGGGUGAUGAAACCAUUAUAUAUCAGUUAUCCCUGUCUGAUGCUUUGGUGCUGAUGAUUAAUGAUCUGACACACAC